rnacentral:rRNA from 1 species
AUUGAACGCUGGCGGCAGGCCUAACACAUGCAAGUCGAACGAGUGGCGGACGGGUGAGUAAUGUCUGGGAAACUGCCCGAUGGAGGGGGAUAACUACUGGAAACGGUCGCUAAUACCGCAUACCAUCGGAUGUGCCCAUAUGGGAUUAGCUAGUAGGUGGGGUAACGGCUCACCUAGGCGACGAUCCCUAGCUGGUCUGAGAGAAUGACCAGCCACACUGGAACUGAGACACGGUCCAGACUCCUACGGGAGGCAGCAGUGGGGAAUAUUGCACAAUGGGGGCAAGCCUGAUGCGGCCAUGCCGGGUGUAGAAGGAAGGCCUUCGGGUUGUAAAGUACUUUCAGCGAGGAGGCGUUACUCGCAGAAGAAGCACCGGCUAACUCCGUGCCAGCAGCCGCGGUAAUAC